rnacentral:misc_RNA from 1 species
GAUGAAGAACGUAGCGAAAUGCGAUACGUAAUGUGAAUUGCAGAAUUCCGUGAAUCAUCGAAUCUUUGAACGCACAUUGCGCCCGCCAGUAUUCUGGCGGGCAUGCCUGUUCGAGCGUCAUUACAACCCUCAGGCCCCCGGGCCUGGCGUUGGGGAUCGGCGGAAGCCCCCUGCGGGCACAACGCCGUCCCCCAAAUACAGUGGCGGUCCCGCCGCAGCUUCCAUUGCGUAGUAGCUAACACCUCGCAACUGGAGAGCGGCGCGGCCACGCCGUAAAACACCCAACUUCUGAAUGUUGACCUCGAAUCAGGUAGGAAUACCCGCUGAACUUAAGCAUAUCAAUAAGCGGAGGA